AGUUCCGUAGCGUGUAGUGAAAGCUAUCACGUUCGCUUCACAUCGCGAAAGCAGCCCCCGGUUCGAUCCCGGACGGAACCA